rnacentral:rRNA from 1 species
UACGUAGGGUGCGAGCGUUGUCCGGAAUUAUUGGGCGUAAAGAGCUCGUAGGCGGUGUGUCACGUCGGCCGUGAAAACCUGCAGCUUAACUGUGGGCGUGCGGUCGAUACGGGUAUCACUGGAGUUCGGCAGGGGAGACUGGAAUUCCUGGUGUAGCGGUGAAAUGCGCAGAUAUCAGGAGGAACACCGGUGGCGAAGGCGGGUCUCUGGGCCGAUACUGACGCUGAGGAGCGAAAGCAUGGGGAGCGAACAGG